CGAAUGCUGACAUAAGUAACGAUAAAGCGGGUGAAAAGCCCGCUCGCCGGAAGACCAAGGGUUCCUGUCCAACGUUAAUCGGGGCAGGGUGAGUCGACCCCUAAGGCGAGGCCGAAAGGCGUAGUCGAUGGGAAACAGGUUAAUAUUCCUGUACUUGGUGUUACUGCGAAGGGGGGACGGAGAAGGCUAUGUUGGCCGGGCGACGGUUGUCCCGGUUUAAGCGUGUAGGCUGGUUUUCCAGGCAAAUCCGGAAAAUCAAGGCUGAGGCGUGAUGACGA
rnacentral:rRNA from 1 species